UGCGGGGUAGUCUAAUGGUAGGACAUCGGUCUUUGAAGCCGACCGUGAAGGUUCGAUUCCUUCCCCCGCAGCCA
rnacentral:tRNA from 2 species